ACAAAGAUGCCAGAAAUUUAUGGAAUUGAUUUAGGAUCAAUAUAUGGCUUUUGUGUGUAGCCUCUUUGUU
rnacentral:tRNA from 1 species